GACGAACGCUGGCGGCGUGCUUAACACAUGCGAGUCGAACGGAAAGGCUCCAGCUUGCUGGAGUACUCGAGUGGCGAACGGGUGAGUAACACGUGGGUAAUCUGCCCUGCACUCUGGGAUAAGCCUGGGAAACUGGGUCUAAUACUGGAUAUGACCUUUCUCCUUAUGGGGUUUGGUGGAAAGUUUUUCGGUGUAGGAUGAGCCCGCGGCCUAUCAGCUUGUUGGUGGGGUGAUGGCCUACCAAGGCGACGACGGGUAGCCGGCCUGAGAGGGUGAUCGGCCACAUUGGGACUGAGAUACGGCCCAGACUCCUACGGGAGGCAGCAGUGGGGAAUAUUGCACAAUGGGCGGAAGCCUGAUGCAGCGACGCCGCGUGAGGGAUGACGGCCUUCGGGUUGUAAACCUCUUUCAGCAGGGACGAAGCGUAAGUGACGGUACCUGCAGAAGAAGCACCGGCUAACUACGUG
rnacentral:rRNA from 1 species